AUUUUGUUUAUUUUUUUCCAUUCCUCUGGUGAGAUUCAGGUCCUAGUCAUGGAAUGAUAUGUGGACAUUUUUACAUCUUUUUGGGGUUGGUUCCAUCAUGUUCUGUUCACGAAAGUCACACAUGCAUGCAAUCUGCAGCAACAGGCAGCUCUUGGCUACUGGCGGGGGAGAGACAGCCCCCACUCAGGGCUUUCCACAAGCUCUACAGCAGUCUGAAGGAGAAGGAAAUCAAGCUGAAGAGCUAAGUGAGACCACUGACUUCAAGUGGAGAAACUGAAAGGAAUUCAGCAGAGUGGUAAGAAGCUAGAUCUGGGCAGUGUGAUUCACUAUUGCCUUCAUCCAAAACACUCCGAAUAGACCAUUUCUGAAGUCGGUCUAACUUCUCAAGCCUGCCAGUCAUGUCUGCAUGGAAGUUCAUCCUUCAUAAUCAGCAGACUCUCACACUUCUAAUACCAUUUGAAUAUCUCUAUUAACUAGAAAGGCAGAUACCUGGGCCUGCUUACCACCCAUUCCAGAAACUACGAAUCAUCAGGUCUGGAGUAAGACUCAUGAAUCUGCUUCUUCAACCGAGCAAGAUAUUCAGCAAAUAUUCAUUCCAUCACAUUAUGAUAAAUACCUCCUUAAACAAAGAAAGAGGGUCCUGCCUUUGAGACCCUACUUUCGUGUCAAGGCAUUAUCUUCUGGGAAUUCCUGGGAGUGGCAUCCUGUAGCAUCAUGGUUAGUCUGUCUUUCUGUCUGUUUAACUAUGAACAAAGGCUUUGAGGUUAGUAACAAUUGAGUCUGAAUUCUUACUCCAACGCCUAAAAAUAUGUGACCUUGUCCUUUCUAAGCCUGUUUCCUUAUUGCAAAAGUAGAACGAUAGGACCUAAUUUACAGGGUUGCAGUGAGGACUAUAUGUAACAAAAGGAAAAAAAAAAAUAAUGCCUUUAGCAACAAACAUACAAUAAACGCU